GACUUUUGUAACUCUUGGCAAAGAGCCUUUUUUCUUAUAUAACUUGGGAGAUGCCUGCGGAAGAGCUGGAAAUGUAUCGUGUAUUUUACUUCAUUGUCCUUUGAAGAGAGGAGUACUGCAGGAAAUACAGCUACCAGCUUCUGCUUCACAGUUCUCCACCAUGCCAGUGCUAUGGCAGUAAUUAAAAUGACAGAUAAACAAGGUUCACAUUUGUUCUCCAAGCCCAGCAAUGGGGAAGCUCUGAACAGCUCAAGUUAGAGCUGCAUGAACGGUGCUGACCCUUGCCUAGACCACUUCAUCUGCCUUAUGGGAGGGUGAUGUAGUUGAUUAUUAUUGCAAUUUGGAACACGGGGUUUGUUUAAAGCAGGAUUAGUGAGGGAAAAAAAAAAAAGUACUUCUCCAAGCAUACUCCUGCUCCUGCAAUGACAAGAGAACUUAGCUUCUUUUCAAUGGGAAUCCUGCUGCUUAUUUAAUAGCAGGUGGGAUUAAACCCUGCAAUAGGUCAAAGUGGGAGGAUCUGGAGUGUCAUUGAGGACAUAUCUAAGCAUUUACUGGUGUGGUGCCCAGGUUCUCUAUGCACCACCACAGUGUUUUGUUUUUGAGAGCGUGGGGAGGAUUAGAUAGCACGUGCAGCCUGGUUUCUUCAGUAUCAACAAGAAGCAACUCAUCUCAUCCUGUCAGGGGGAGAGCAGUUGGUGUAACUUAUCCAGCAGAACAGCUGAUUUUGUGAAAUGUAUCUGAGAAUUAGUCAAACAGACCAAGAAGCGCGUGGAGACUGGCAGUUGCACUUCAAAAUGAGGAAAUGAGCUUCUUGAUCUUGUCCGGAUGGAGGGCAAUUUAGAAGGACACUGCAAGCAGAGCAGUUGGGCCCUGAAAGUCUUUUUUCAACAGAGCAGCAGGAUAUCCAGCAAUCAGCAGUAUGAAGUCUCAUUCCAGGAAAUGGCUGAGGCACUUCGCUGAAACUCUGCGAAAUAAUUAAAUAAAAGAUUGAGCCAAAGAGAGACACCUGGUUUGGAAAACUUCCCCCUUC